UACGUAGGGUGCAAGCGAUGUCCGGAAUUAUUGGGCGUAAAGAGCUCGUAGGCGGUUUGUCGCGUCUGCUGUGUAAGAUCGGGGCUCAACCCCGGAACUGCAGUGGGUACGGGCAGACUAGAGUGCGGUAGAGGAGACUGGAAUUCCUGGUGUAGCGGUGGAAUGCGCAGAUAUCAGGAGGAACACCAGUGGCGAAGGCGGGUCUCUGGGCCGCAACUGACGCUGAGGAGCGAAAGCGUGGGGGCCGAACAGG
rnacentral:rRNA from 1 species